CGCUCCGGUAAGGUGCUCGCCCAAUAAUCACUUUAAACACUUCUUUGGGACUCCAAUUGCACCCAAAUGUCUCCAAGAACUCCAUGUGGUACUCCAAUACCUGAUAAGGACUCAUGUAUGCAAAAUACAACCUAAACAUGACUAAAUCCUAAUCUAUAUGAUCAAAAUGCACAUGGGUGAAUGGAUAAAACAUUAGAAAUAUGCAAGAUAUCACUAAACAGGCCCAACUAUACAAUCCCAACUGCCGUAACUUAUUUUAUAUAUAUAAGAAUUACAUAAAUGAAAAUUCUCGUCUGUGGCUUACAUUUUAUUUUCUGUAACUUACUUUACAGAAAAUAAAUGGUUUUGCAAUUUACAUUUUGGCUCAAUAAAAGAACUGUGAGGGUCCGCGAAAAAUGGAAUUAAAGCGAAGGGGAAGAGGUUAUAGCAUAUCAAUCUAUCCUAUACUGAAAGGGAUAUACGAGGAGUAGUGAGGCUGUCCACGUCCUCAAUUAAAUCAACCAAUGAGGAGUUUCUGUUUUGCCACUUCAGAACAACUUUGUCUAAAGAAACUGGGCCUCGGUGUGGUUUUCCAAAGAAUUAUCAUGGCCACGUCGAGCCCGACAAUUCCAAUUCAUCUUCAAUUUCUCUUCUAGAUUCUCUGUAAUCGACUCUUUCACUCUAUCUUCCAUCUCUGUAACCCCUAUUAAUCAAUGACGUUUUUUAUUUCUUCUGGCUGGUUUCGUUCCAACUUCCGUUCAUCAUCCUCCUAUAUUAAUCAAUCACUACAAUCUUUCAUGGUGAAUGGGAUAAGACGAAGCUUUUGUUUUAUUUUCUUAUCUUUCUAGAUCAGUUUUUUUUGGUCUGUAUAAAACUUUCGAUCUAUAAUAGAUCGAAUCUUAUGUUCACUUAGGCGAUUCCUCUUUUCGCGUUGGCAAUUUUGUAGUGUUAAUCAACGACAAUCGAAACUGUUAUUUAUGGUUUCUCUUCUUCUUCGAUUGGGUUUGAUAUAAAUAAAGUUCAGUUUUUCUCUGUUUAUUCACUUUAUCUUCUUUUCGAUUGAGUUCAACGAUCGUGGCUUGGGUAAUUUUGCAUCCGUUUUAGACGCAAUCCUUUAGGGGGCGUUCUCAAGAUCUUCUUCACAUAGUAUCGAAGACGCGGAUGUGCUCCAACUGGUUGCUGAUGAAGAUUGAAGAAGAUGAAGGAGGGAGACCGAGGAGAAUCUAAGGUAAUCAUCACUUCGUAAACCCAUGAUCAAGGUUCCUCCUUCGGCUUCAUUUAUUUGUGUACCAUCUACAGUGCCAAGUUUGUUAUUUUUUAUUGAACAGAGAAUUUGGGAGAGGUUGGUAAUAUUGCUCAUCUCGUUGCUCUUUUUGGUCCUAUACAUAAAAAAAGUUGUGUGCUUUAUGGAUCAAAAAUCCUUUUUUCCUUAACUUGUAUUAUUAAUUGUUAAUGGCAUUUAGUAUAUUUGAAAGUA